GUGCCUGUGCUGGAAAAAAAGAACGCAGCUAUCUCUUUGAGAGACAUUAACAUCUGGGAAUCACUGUGGUAAAUGAAGGCCAGCCACUUACUUUGAGUGUAGUGCUAGCAACUGAUGGUCCCGUAACUGAGCUCCAGCACUCACCAGUGGUCAGCGAACUCAUACUCUACCUUCUAGGUGGAAGGUCCAGCAAACCAGAUGCGCACACGGGACCAGUGUUACGCGUACCUACUCACUGGUGGGUGCCAAGCACAGACCCGAGUCGCCAACCGAGGGCGACGCUUUCCAUGUACGAUCACGCAGGAGAGAGGCGGCUCCCAGGAUUCAUCGUAACAGCCAAGUUUCUCCAAUGUGUUGUGCAGCGAAAGCAAGUUUUGCAUCCGCAGGCUGUCCGAGCACAACCUGACAACGAGACCCAGUUCUACGUCAGGUGAAGCAUGCCUCGAGCAGACGCCGUCUGCGGUACGGCAACGCCGUUCUGUUUCUGUGCUACGACAGCACCGGCGCUACAAGCGCUAUUGAGGCGGAUGUUCACGGGCAGGCACUCGGCGCCCGAUAGUACGUCUGAAACGCCAGUACAUCCGAGAAGAAGUAUGGGUUAUGAAACUCGGACGUAAAGCGUGGAACGACGAAAGUUUCACCGCGCGCAGGUAGCAAGCACACAGAGUCGCGGCACGCUCGCCUGUGUGAGAAGUUUUCACAUGGAACAAAAUCCGCUGCAUUUGCUGUUGCCGCUGAUUUCUCUCCAAUGACAAAACGUUUACAUUGUACUUGGAUUCCAGAUAGCGAGAUGGAUGGGUAUAGCUGAUCGAAAAAGUGUCCAUCAUGAUGCACUCUACCUCCAUGCUCCGUUCCUUAUACUUCCUUUCGGAUGUACAGAUCGUUUUGUGCGUUCUGUAGUGCGACCGAGUGCCUGCUUUGGGCACCCGCCUUAGCGCCUAUACCACUGGGACGGAUGCAUCAUGGAGAUAGAACAGCGUUGCCAUACCACUGAGGGCGACGGAUUGAGGAACGCUUUACCUGAUACAGCGUUGGAGUCCAGAAUAAUUCUGGGAGCCUGUAGGCUAAACAGACAGAACUACUGCCUGCGAAAGCGCGAACCGAUAUAUUAGGAGUCUACUGCGAUCAGGGCGACGACCAAACACAGCAUCCCGCAUCUAGUCCCAGAAUGAACCGCGUUGCGGACGAACUGCUCAGGUCUCGCCACAGCGCCCGCUACUGGGUGGAGCACGAAGCACGAGUCCGGGAGACUCGUCCGGCUCGCGGGACUUUUCGCCUAGAGGGAGGACUCUUCAGAAUAUGGGAACCUUUUCCCCGUUUUCAACGUUUAUCGUAGAACGGGAGAGAAAUUGCUGUAUCGUUGCUCGCUAGUCGUGAGUCUCUGUUCUUUGUUCUACAUAGCGCUAUCGAUUUGCGCACCAGGGAGAUCUGUUAGUUUUCGAGUCACGACGCGCAUCCCGCAGCUGAAGGGAAACGCGAUCCUGAUCAAUAGCGUGCUGCUCUAAUAUAAAAGUUGUACUUGCGUUAAAGUUGUAGCAAAG